rnacentral:rRNA from 1 species
UGAACGAGUAACACAGCGUCAUACUUUAAACAGCACCUGAGAAUGGUGACAUAAAUAAGCAAAAAAUUGAGUCUGAACUACUAACUUAUCUUCCGUUGUUAAGGUUGAUUUCUUUUCGCUUUAGGGCGAAUCCGGGAAUUUUAAUGGUUGUUAGUCGUAAAUAGGUUACCAGCGGUAGCGGUGGAGGAAGAGGCGGCGGCGGCGGCAGCGGCAGCGGGCGGCCUCGAGGGGCCGAGUGGAGGUCGAGCAGCGAGCGGCGGCGGAGGGCAAGACGUGUCGGCGGAGGAGUAGGUGGCACGGUGGACGGCGACGCCGCCCGAAACCCACCCGGCUGCGGGAGGCUCAACGGUCGCUUAAGCCCCAGCCGCUACUCAGGCUGGAAAGCCCUAUGAAGGUCUUCCAGCUGUAGACGUUGGCUCCUUACCCAUUGUUCCCCCUCAAGCACCUCAAGUACCACCUCCUAGUUCACCACCCUAUGUAGGUGUUCCCCAAAUGACUUGUGGACUCCCUGAAGGUACUACAAAAAUGGUAACAGAGCCCGUCGUUACCGUUCUUGUCACACCUCGUACACUGAGAGGUGAGUAGCGAGUCCUGAGGUCUUCUAGCUUGUUAGCGGUAGCCUCUACAGUAUUUUCCGGAUCCCCUUGAGUAAGGACCAUAUGCUUUACUCGAGAUAGGUCAUUGGAGUAGAAUGCCGUACGGACACAUGAAGAGAGACCUUGCACGACGACGAGGGAUGAAACCAUAUUUCCGAAUACCACAAGUAUACUUACCCAUGUAGCUCUUCGUACCACUUUUCAGAGAAACCUAACCAUUCUCUUCACUACACUUCGUUUGAAUGGGACCCUACGAUCUAGUAGAACAACGACCACCGGACGGAAUGCCUUAGAGGACAUUUCUCUUAUAGUAGUUCCUUACACUUCUCCUUCGUCCUUAUGGUUCUAGGUACAGUUGGUUGCGAUGAAGACAACCUCGGUAAAGAAUGUACCUAUAGUUACCCAAAUCUAUGUUUUCCCUACAAGACAAGACGAUACUGGAAUCUGAAGGACAUCUAAAGCAAGGAUUAUUACUUCUACCUCUUCAACUAUCGAAGUCUGAUUAGGGCCAUGGUGUACGACGUUUGUAAUAUGCCUCCUGUCUAAAAAAGUUCGGUUUGACGUUGGAACACUAGUAACUGAAGGAGAAGGCAGUACCCAUGUAUUUGGGUCUGACAUUACCCAUGGACUUCGACGACUGUUCGAACUCCUCACCACUAACAAGGAUCCCGAACGUCAAGCGACAAGUUUGUCUUCUUAGUCUAAUGGUCGUAAUUAGCAACUAAAAAACCUCAUUCGAUCUACCGACAGGUAGUUUUAGUCUUAUAAUUGAAAUUUCAUGUUUGACAUGUACUAAAAAAAAGAAAGAGAUUUACGUAAAGACAAGCGUGUAAUAGAAACUGAGAAGUCACUCAAAUCCCUCCAUUCCUUCAAGUCCUCCUUUCCCCCCGUAUUAUUUUCCUUGUAAUCAUAUGUACCACGACUUGUACUACCGGACGAAUAAAGACAUCAGAAAAUAUACGAACGCGAUAACCGAUAAAAGAACGUUUAUAAAAAGAAAAGUUUUACCAAAACCAUUGACGUCCGGACUUCGAUUUGUGGCACACGCGAGAUAGGUGGUCUUACCUUGAAGCUCUAGUCAGAAAUAGUUUCGACAUAAUUAUUAAGGACGGCUGACCGUCAAACGUUAUCUAGGGAAAAAAAAACGGAAAGAACUCAGGGAGCUAGACCAAGUUAAAGAGCGUUUUUCGACCCCUCAACCUCAGCUUGGAGCAUGGGGAUGUCCAAUCAAUAGUUGAGUUAAUGGUGAACCCGACCGAGUCGAAACUACCAUUUAGAUCGAAAGAAAAGAAAACAUGGAAGUGUAUAGGUCG